rnacentral:lncRNA from 1 species
AUGAAUAAGGCUGGCAUGCUAUGCAUGCCGCCUAUGGAACCGCUGGUUGCAGCCCACCUGCACCCACAGCUCUCGGCAACUUCCUCCAGACCUCCCGCUCUCCCUGCAAAGGCGGACCGCUUCCAGUCGGCACUGAACGAGAGGGCGUACAAGGCUGCCGCCAUCUCGGUCCGAGCUUUGAAUGUCUCCUCCAUGCUCUCAGCAUACCAAGCCGAGCUCUGUGAAGACAUGAAUACAAAACUGGACCUGGAGGCGUGGGAGGAAAUCACCGUGCUGACCGACAUCUGCCUGCGUGUGCAGCGCUGCGCGGUCCAGGCCACGGGUAAAGCCAUGAGCAUGAUGGUGCUUCAGGAACGUGCACGAUGGCUGAACCUCUCCAACCUCUCUGAUAGAGAGAAGGAGGACAUUUUGGACAUGCCAAUCGUGCCUGAAGGCAUUUUUGGCUCUGCCCUGGCAUCAAUGCAGCAACGGUGUGNAACCUCUCUGAUAGAGAGAAGGAGGACAUUUUGGACAUGCCAAUUGUGCCUGAAGGCAUUUUUGGCUCUGCACUGGCAUCAAUGCAACAACGGUGUGAGGCAAAAAACAAAAAAGAAUAUGAAGCCCUUCAACUCUGCCUUACCCGGAAGCCUUCACCUGCUCCACCAGCUCGGCCGACUUUUCCUCAGGCAGCUGCCCGAGCCCCGCCUCAGUUCCAGAUCCCGAAGCACCCAAAGCCUCAAGCAGUUCAACCAGCUCCUUUGGGUUCAGCGCCUCAACCAGUUUGGCCACAGAGGUCUUGCACCCAAACCGCUCCACCACUGUGGCAACCCAAGAAAAGAGCAUCCUGACGGAGUUCUUUCCCUCCCGAUGUUGCAGCUGGCAGUUACCCGGCUCCACCUGUUCGGUGUUACCAUGGAGCUUUCUCCCUCCCCUCAAGGGACCCUCCCCGCAGAGUUCCUGAUCAGUUCAGGGUGGGACCAGGACGUGCAACCAGCUGUGCCGGCUCAAAACAAACGUCACAAGCACUUACAUUGUUUUUCACUAACAUUUCACCACCCACCUCGCUGA